UGAGAGUGCCAAUGUUGAGGCUGCUCGACUUCUUCAAGAAGCUGCAAGGAUUUUGAAGAGAGAGUCAGAAAGCACAGCCACUGCUGGCUCAGGAUCACAGACUGGUACUGGGACGUGUUCACCCAGUUCUUUUAGAGGUUUGUUUAACAACAUGCAAACCUCACUAGCUGAAGUACAACAGGGAACCCCUACAGUCGAUUCAGGCAGGAUUCCCUGCCCUAGAAAUGACCACAUUCAAAGAAAUCUUGUGCAGCUGUUUCAGCCAUGUGAUCGGGCAAGGGGGCAAAAGAUGUUCCAGAAAACUGGAAAGUGUAAACGGAAAACUACACACAGUGAAACCUGGACACGUGAUUUCUUUUGCUUACAGAGACCAAUGUUCAAACUGUGCCCAAUGGAGAAGACCGCAUUGGUUUACAGAAUUCAGCCCUUGGUAGGAAAAAAAUAACAUUUGCAGACAAAAAUGGAGGAUUUUCUGAACUAUGUGAAACUCUGUUUUCACAUUUUCCACAAUUGAAAGGUGCAGGAGGCUUUCAGAUGUUGAGGUCCGUUAAUAAAACCAAACAAUUGGCACCAAUUCCAAUGCCAGCCGGUGAGUACAGUGAGAAAUUUCUGAGAACUGAGAGUGGCCUGAACCAGGCAAUGGCCUACAUUCGACCACUUCAGAAAAACCUGGAGAGCAUUGCGAAGCGUGAGGCUGAAGAGUGUCAAGAGGUGGUCAUGGAGAAGUGCAAAAGGUGUGGAAAAGAUAUCCCUCUGCAAUGCCUUUCAGAACACAUUGAAAACUGUGGAAGGUCAUCUGUUUUUCUGGUGUAUUUGUCAUAUAAAUUGCUCAUUUACUUUUACAACAUAGUGGUUGACUUGUAUCUGUGGUAAAUAUGUUUUGACAUUCAAAGCAUGUAUGUCUUUGUUAACUGUUUUCAGACAGCCUGAUGACACUGAUUUGGAAGAUGAUGUCGUUAUGGAGAUAUCUGAAGAGACUCAACUAUCUAUGUCAUCACAUGACAACACAUCCCAUGUUCAAAAUUAUUACAACAAGUGCCAUGCUUCUUCUAGUGGACUGUACAGAGACUAUGUGGACCUUGUCAGUGAAGACAAUGUAUUUAGUGAUUCUGAAGAAGAGCAGCUGAAUAGAGUUCUAGAGGAAUCGCUAAAGGAAAGCUCGCAUGCAGCUUUUAAAUUUCAAAGUCAGACAAUUAAAAAGGAACUGGACAAGGCGGUUCGACUGGUAUGUUCUUCAGCGAACAAGAACACAGUUUGAAAGGUUGCAAGAAGGACUCCGUUCUCUCGGUGUAAUGGAUUCUAUGAAGGCCCACCCUGAAACCUUCAAACCUAUUUUCUGUCAAUCGACAGAGAAGCUGACUGCUGAUGUGCUUGAAGAGCUAUUCAAAGAGCAGCGAUCUGACUGUGGGAGUAACAAGUUUGAGAGAGAAAAUGAAGCAGUAUGUCAUUGGAGGGAUUAUCUCUUGGAUGUAGAGAUGGGGAUUUGUGGAGUUACCCUGGAGGACAUCCUUGUCUUUGCCACAGGAAGUGACAGUGUACCAGCAUUGGGCUUCAACCCUGCUCCAACUGUUGAAUUUUUGCAUGAUGGUUCACGGUUUCCACUUGCAAACACAUGUUCCAGCAUAUUAAGGGUACCAUGCAGGCAUUCAUACGAGUCCUUCAGGGAUGAUAUGGACUUUGGAAUUAAAAAUUCCCCAGGCUUUGGAAGGGCAUAACCAAAUUCCUUUGCUUACCAUACCUGUAGUCAAAGGGCACAAGUAUGUUCGAUCCUAAGAACAAUGUUAUGCAUGCCAAAGUGCUGCUAGAAUUUUUAUGUUUGUCAUUUUUGUUAUCUAUAAUUCUUUGUACACUUAAAUUUAGCAAGUGAGUCACCUUUGGUUGAGAAUUCUUACCUGUAGUUAUUAUUAUUGCAGAUAUUUAGCAGACACCUUUAUUAAGCACUACAAUUCAAUUUACUAAAAUAUUAAAAUGUAAUAGUUCAAUCUGUCAAUAUUAACAUCAGUGCUGAAAUGUUACAAGCCUUUAAAUAAAAGUAUAGGCUGGAUCUUUUCCCUCCUAAGGAUUUUUGGUAAUAGAGAAUUCUUAACAGUUGUUAAGUUGUUCCAAGAAAGAACAUUUUACUUUUCCUCCUUAUUAAUAAACACUAUUUGCAUUUCUGUGA